rnacentral:rRNA from 1 species
GACGAACGCUGGCGGCGUGCUUAACACAUGCAAGUCGAACGAUGAAGAAAAGAAUCGAAGCUUCGGCAGAAAUUCAUUUCGGAUUAGUGGCAGACGGGUGAGUAACGCGUGAGCAACCUACCUCUUACAAAGGGAUAGCCUCGGGAAACCGGGAUUAAUACCAUAUAACAUUGCGACGAAGCAUUUCGAUGCAAUCAAAGCUACGGCGGUAAGAGAUGCGCUCGCGUCCCAUUAACCGGAUGGUGAGGUAACGGCUCACCAUAGUGACGAUGGGUAACCGGGCUGAGAGAGUGAACGGUCACACUGGAACUGAGACACAGUCCAGAAUCCUACGGGAGGCAGGAGUGGGGAAUAUUGCAAAAUGGAGGGAACUAUGAUGCAGCGACGCCGCGUGAGUGAUGAAGGAAUUCGUUUCGUAAAACGCUGUUCUAUGGGAAGAAAAGGACUGUACCAUAGGAGAAAGCUCCGGCUAAAUACGUG